rnacentral:rRNA from 1 species
GCAUUUAUUUGAACAAAACCAAGCGGCUUCGGCUGUUUCUGGUCGACUCAUAGUAACUGAGCUGAUCGCACGGUCUUGUACCGGCGACGUGUCUUUCAAGUAUCUGCCGUAUCAACUUUCGAUGGUAGUGUAUCUGACUACCAUGGUGAUCACGCGUAACGGAGAAUAAGGGUUCGACUCCGGAGAGUUCGCCUGAGAAAUCGCGAACACAUCUAAGGAAGGCAGCAGGCGCGAAAAUUACCCACUCUCAGCACGAGGAGGUAGUGACGAAAAAUAACGAGACCGAUCUCUUACGAGGCCGGUCAUCGGAAUGGGUACAAUUUAAACCCUUUAACGAGUAUCUAUGAGAGGGCAAGUCUGGUGCCAGCAGCCGCGGUAAUUCCAGCUCUCAAAGUGCAUAGAAGUAUUGCUGCGGUUAAAAAGCUCGUAGUUGGAUCUGUGCCAUAGGACGUGGUCCACCUUCGGGUGCGUACUUCGCUCCUAGGCUUUUUGCUGGUUUUCCCGUCGUAGCCUUCGCUGGUUGCGGCGGGUGGCUGGCGAGUUUACUUUGAGAAAAUCAGAGUGCUCAAUACAGGUGUCUAGCUUGAAAUGAUUGUGCAUGGGAAUAAUAGAAAAGGGAUUUCGGUCCUCUUUUUAUUGG